GUCCGGGGGGAGAAAGAUGGAGGAAGAGAGGAAAAAGAAGGUCUUUUUCCACAAGAAAAUUUCUGACAUAACACACCAGAAGGUUAACAAGAUAUCUCUGUGUCAGUUCUGGAUUUUUAUUUUUCCUCUUUGCUUGUGCCGUCUCAUUUUUCCAAAUAGAUUAUCUGUAUCUGUGUAACAAAUAUUACUAUAAGGUUAAUAGUGAAAAAAUAAAAUAUUCUAAAGGAUA